GGCAGGCUUAACACAUGCAAGUCGAGCGGAGAUGAGGUGCUUGCACCUUAUCUUAGCGGCGGACGGGUGAGUAAUGCUUAGGAAUCUGCCUAUUAGUGGGGGACAACAUUCCGAAAGGAAUGCUAAUACCGCAUACGUCCUACGGGAGAAAGCAGGGGAUCUUCGGACCUUGCGCUAAUAGAUGAGCCUAAGUCGGAUUAGCUAGUUGGUGGGGUAAAGGCCUACCAAGGCGACGAUGUAGCGGGUCUGAGAGGAUGAUCCGCCACACUGGGACUGAGACACGGCCCAGACUCCUACGGGAGGCAGCAGUGGGGAAUAUUGGACAAUGGGGGGAACCCUGAUCCAGCCAUGCCGCGUGUGUGAAGAAGGCCUUAUGGUUGUAAAGCACUUUAAGCGAGGAGGAGGCUACUGAGACUAAUACUCUUGGAUAGUGGACGUUACUCGCAGAAUAAGCACCGGCUAACUCUGUGCCAGCAGCCGCGGUAAUACAGAGGGUGCGAGCGUUAAUCGGAUUUACUGGGCGUAAAGCGUGCGUAGGCGGCUUUUUAAGUCGGAUGUGAAAUCCCCGAGCUUAACUUGGGAAUUGCAUUCGAUACUGGGAAGCUAGAGUAUGGGAGAGGAUGGUAGAAUUCCAGGUGUAGCGGUGAAAUGCGUAGAGAUCUGGAGGAAUACCGAUGGCGAAGGCAGCCAUCUGGCCUAAUACUGACGCUGAGGUACGAAAGCAUGGGGAGCAAACAGGAUUAGAUACCCUGGUAGUCCAUGCCGUAAACGAUGUCUACUAGCCGUUGGGGCCUUUGAGGCUUUAGUGGCGCAGCUAACGCGAUAAGUAGACCGCCUGGGGAGUACGGUCGCAAGACUAAAACUCAAAUGAAUUGACGGGGGCCCGCACAAGCGGUGGAGCAUGUGGUUUAAUUCGAUGCAACGCGAAGAACCUUACCUGGCCUUGACAUACUAGAAACUUUCCAGAGAUGGAUUGGUGCCUUCGGGAAUCUAGAUACAGGUGCUGCAUGGCUGUCGUCAGCUCGUGUCGUGAGAUGUUGGGUUAAGUCCCGCAACGAGCGCAACCCUUUUCCUUUUGCCAGCAUUUCGGAUGGGAACUUUAAGGAUACUGCCAGUGACAAACUGGAGGAAGGCGGGGACGACGUCAAGUCAUCAUGGCCCUUACGGCCAGGGCUACACU
rnacentral:rRNA from 1 species